rnacentral:rRNA from 1 species
UACGAGUGCUUCGAGCGUUAUCCGAAAUCAUUGGGCGUAAAGGGUGUGUAGGCGGCAUUAUUAGUCUCGCGUAAAAUCUUUCGGCUCAACGGAGAGUCUGCGUGGGAAACGGUAGUGCUAAGAGGAUGGAAGAGGUCUCUGGAACUCAUGGUGUAGCGGUAAAAUGCGUUGAUAUCAUGGGGAACACCAAAAGCGAAGGCAAGAGACUGGUCCACUCCUGACGCUGAAACACGAAAGCGUGGGUCGCGAAUGGG